GACGAACGCUGGCGGCGUGCCUAAUACAUGCAAGUCGAACGCUUUUUCUUUCACCGGAGCUUGCUCCACCGAAAGAAAAAGAGUGGCGAACGGGUGAGUAACACGUGGGUAACCUGCCCAUCAGAAGGGGAUAACACUUGGAAACAGGUGCUAAUACCGUAUAACACUAUUUUCCGCAUGGAAGAAAGUUGAAAGGCGCUUUUGCGUCACUGAUGGAUGGACCCGCGGUGCAUUAGCUAGUUGGUGAGGUAACGGCUCACCAAGGCAACGAUGCAUAGCCGACCUGGGAGGGUGAUCGGCCACACUGGGACUGAGACACGGCCCAGACUCCUACGGGAGGUAGCAGUAGGGAAUCUUCGGCAAUGGACGAAAGUCUGACCGAGCAACGCCGCGUGAGUGAAGAAGGUUUUCGGAUCGUAAGACUCUGUUGUUAGAGAAGAACAAGGAUGAGAGUAAAACGUUCAUCCCUUGACGGUAUCUAACCAGAAAGCCACGGCUAACUACGUGCCAGCCGCCGCGGUAA
rnacentral:rRNA from 1 species